rnacentral:rRNA from 1 species
CCUACGGGAGGCAGCAGUAGGGAAUAUUGGGCAAUGGACGGAAGUCUGACCCAGCCAUGCCGCGUGCAGGAAGAAGGCCUUCUGGGUUGUAAACUGCUUUUAUAUAGGAAGAAAAUCCCCAUGCGUGGGGCACUGACGGUACUAUAUGAAUAAGCACCGGCUAACUCCGUGCCAGCAGCCGCGGUAAUACGGAGGGUGCAAGCGUUGUCCGGAUUUAUUGGGUUUAAAGGGUGCGUAGGCGGCCUUUUAAGUCAGUGGUGAAAUCCUGCAGCUUAACUGCAGAACUGCCAUUGAUACUGGAAGGCUUGAGUACAGAUGAGGUAGGCGGAAUUGAUUGUGUAGCGGUGAAAUGCAUAGAUACAAUCAAGAACUCCGAUUGCGUAGGCAGCUUACUGGGCUGUAACUGACGCUGAGGCACGAAAGCGUGGGGAGCGAACAGG